GACGAACGCUGGCGGCGUGCCUAAUACAUGCAAGUCGAGCGAAGCUGUUUUAACUGGUGCUUGCACCGACUUAAACAACUGAGUGGCGAACGGGUGAGUAACACGUGGGUAACCUGCCCAGAAGCGGGGGAUAACAUUUGGAAACAGAUGCUAAUACCGCAUAAAAGUCAAAACCACAUGGUUUUGAUUUGAAAGAUGGCCUUUGUGCUAUCACUUCUGGAUGGACCCGCGGCGUAUUAGCUAGUUGGUAAGGUAACGGCUUACCAAGGCAAUGAUACGUAGCCGAACUGAGAGGUUGAUCGGCCACAAUGGGACUGAGACACGGCCCAUACUCCUACGGGAGGCAGCAGUAGGGAAUCUUCCACAAUGGGCGCAAGCCUGAUGGAGCAACACCGCGUGAGUGAAGAAGGGUUUCGGCUCGUAAAACUCUGUUGUUAAAGAAGAACGUAUCUAAGAGUAACUGCUUAGGUAGUGACGGUAUUUAACCAGAAAGCCACGGCUAACUACGUGCCAGCCGCCGCGGUAA
rnacentral:rRNA from 1 species